rnacentral:rRNA from 1 species
ACUCACGCGGGAAUCUUACCGGGUCCGGACACACUGAGGAUUGACAGGUUCCGAGAGUUUUUGCUUCGGCAAUGCUCUCUUAAAUAUGAUAGUCCUUUCAUGAUUAUGUGAUAGGUGGUGCAUGGCCGUUCUUAGUUCGUGGAGUGAUCUGUCUGCUUAAUUGCGUUUCACUAAAGGCGUCAUAUCUGUUUUGUUGCGUGUUUGACCCCUCUUCGGAGCGCGUGUCUUCACGCACAAUUACUUUGGCGUCUGAAAGCAACGAACGUGACCGUAACCUCUUGUUGCCUUCUCUUCUCCUCGGAGAAUGCUGUUUGUUUUUGCAGGCAGUAUAUGGAGGCUUUUUUACUCAACAACUAGAGGGACCGCUGUUUCUUUCUUUAAACCAGAGGAAGGAUACGGCAAUAACAGGUCUGUGAUGCCCUUAGAUGUUCCGGGCUGCACACGUGAUACAUUGAUUACUUCAGUGAGUAUCUACGUUUUACUGCGUGGCAUUGCAAUGCAUAUUUCUUCGGAAGUGUGUUUUUGUUU